rnacentral:misc_RNA from 1 species
CCGAGAUUUUUUCCUGCUUGCAGGAAAUCUCCCACCCUUUGUGUACCAAAUCUUUUACUUUGGUGAAGCGUUUUCUUCACAGGAACCAUCGGCCCUCGGGCGGGUGUGUCUUCACCAAAGGAAUCCUUAACUCUUAAUUUUUAUAAUUGUCUGAGUUUAUAUCUUAAAUAAACA